rnacentral:rRNA from 1 species
UACGGAGGGGGCUAGCGUUGUUCGGAAUUACUGGGCGUAAAGCGCGUGUAGGCGGCAGGGCAUGUCGGAUGUGAAAUCCCGUGGCUCAACCACGGAAGUGCACCCGAAACUGCAGAGCUUGAGUGCCGGAGAGGGUGGCGGAAUUCCCCAAGUAGAGGUGAAAUUCGUAGAUAGUGGGGAGGAACACCGGUGGCGAAGGCGGCCACCUGGACGGUAACUGACGCUGAGACGCGAAAGCGUGGGUAGCAAACAGG